GAGUUUGAUCUUGGCUCAGGAUGAACGCUGGCGGCGUGCUUAACACAUGCAAGUCGAACGAUGAAGCCCAGCUUGCUGGGUGGAUUAGUGGCGAACGGGUGAGUAACACGUGAGCAACCUGCCCCUGACUCUGGGAUAAGCGCUGGAAACGGCGUCUAAUACUGGAUACGAACAAGAAUCGCAUGGUUACUUGUUGGAAAGAUUUUUGGUUGGGGAUGGGCUCGCGGCCUAUCAGCUUGUUGGUGAGGUAAUGGCUCACCAAGGCGUCGACGGGUAGCCGGCCUGAGAGGGUGACCGGCCACACUGGGACUGAGACACGGCCCAGACUCCUACGGGAGGCAGCAGUGGGGAAUAUUGCACAAUGGGCGGAAGCCUGAUGCAGCAACGCCGCGUGAGGGAUGACGGCCUCGG
rnacentral:rRNA from 1 species